UAUCUCCAGACCUUGGUGCUGUCAUAUUCUUUCACUUGUUACAUAUCGCAGCACCCGUACCACAGUCAGUCUGUCUGUCUGUCUGGAUGUCUGUCUGGCCUUCUGUCUGGAUGUCUUGACAAAAGAACUGUUGUUUUAUUCUCUUUUCCCAAUCCAAAUCUGGCUCUGAGCAGCUAGGGCUGUGGCAUUAGAAUGACUUCUGAGAAUAUACAGUAUGUUCUGUGUUUUAUGUCGAUAUGGUCUUAGCAUUGAUUCUGUCCAUCCUGUACAAUAUCUGAUCCUCAUUUCCUGGACACAUGAUAUGGUAAUAAAGUGCUUUAUCCCUGCAUUCUUCACUGCAAAUGCCAAAUUUGGGACUUAACCCACCAUUGGAUACAAUGCGAUUUGCAGCAAGUGCCAAAAUCAAGAGUGAAUCGUGUCUUUGAUAUCACAUCUCAGUGACCUUAGAGGACUCCUGUGAUCAAUAUUCAUGAAUUUCCUAUUUUAUUUCAACACUUUGCAAGAGAUAGACAAAAGGAGAAACCCUGACAGAAAGUAUGAGCCAUGUACACCUCAGGAAAUCACCGGGGAGCAUAACAAAGGUACAAAAACGUUGAAAUAAACCAUGAUGUUCCAGCAGCAGCAACCAUGCAGAGAGAUUUGGAGUUUUGAAAACCUGUCUAAAGGGUAAUGGAGGAGUUCUUUGGUGACAUUCCAGCAGAGUCCUGUCAGGGGUGAAUGCGUCAUGCCAGAAGAUAUUUCCCCCGCUGUCUGGCCAAGGAGAAUAUCACCUGUGAUGUUGAUGAACAUCUAUGGCCAGAACAAAACAACUGACAUUACUGAUUUUGUUUCUUGACUUAUGAUUUUGAUUUUACUGUAUUUUACUGUAUUUACUGUAGUUUCUUUAUCUAUUCCGUACAAUUGAUCUAACAUACAGUGCAGUAGUACAAAUAGGCCUAUUUUUAUUCCUGUGCAUAGGCAAAAUGUAUUUACUUCAUGUUUGCAUUUUUCGUGUAUGUGUGUUUACAGUAUGCUGUUUGAUAUGUAUUGAGUCCUGU
rnacentral:lncRNA from 1 species